rnacentral:rRNA from 1 species
AGAGGGUGCGAGCGUUAAUCGGAAUUACUGGGCGUAAAGGGCGCGUAGGUUGAUGUUUAAGUUGGAUGUGAAAGCCCCGGGCUCAACCUGGGAAGGUCAUCCAAAACUGGGCAACUAGAGUACGGUAGAGGGAAGUGGAAUUUCCGGUGUAGCGGUGAAAUGCGUAGAGAUCGGAAGGAACACCAGUGGCGAAGGCGGCUUCCUGGACUGAUACUGACACUGAGGCGCGAAAGCGUGGGGAGCAAACAGGAUUAGAUACCCUGGUAGUCCACGCCGUAAACGAUGAGAACUAGCUGUUGGAAAAACUUAUUUUUUUAAGUGGCGCAGCAAACCGCGAUAAGUUCUCCGCCUGGGGAGUACGGCCGCAGGUUA